CUUCUGGGCCCCAAGGGCUGGCAGAACUGUAAGCCACAGGCAGAGGGCGCCGAGCGACCCUGCUGAUCCGGGAGAGAACUGCAGACUUGACCUAGAGGUGAAAUUUUCAGGGGUCAAGAGGAGCAGUCACUGACGUCAGUCUAGGGAAGCUGCCAAACGCAGGGACAGCUACACAAAGAAAGCACCAGGUCAGCCCACUCAACAGGAGAGAAACCAUGUCUGGAGACUACCCAGAUGCUCGGUGCUAGUGAAGUCACAGAUCUUGAAGGAGAACCUACAACCAUGAUUUUACUGAAGCAACGUAAGCCCUACAACAAUCCCAACAAUCUGUCCGUGUGCCCGCAGGUUUUCUCUAUGUGUGGCCCUGGUUGCCCUGGAACACAAUAGCAAACCAGGCUGGCCUUGAACUCAGAUCUGCUUGCCUGUCUCCUGGAUUAAAGGUGUUUAUAUUCCAGCUGGAUCGCAGACCAUAGAAUAUCUUUUGACGUGAUCUCCUGCCAGAACUGCCGUGUUCGAAAUAAAAAUGCCUUUACAAUAAAUGUGUUACGUCCCAGAACAAA